rnacentral:tRNA from 1 species
CCAUUAGUGGUAUAAUGGUGAGCAUAGCUGCCUUCCAAGCAGUUGAUCUGGGUUCAUUCCCUGGCCAAUGCA